UACAGAGGGUGCGAGCGUUAAUCGGAAUUACUGGGCGUAAAGCGCACGUAGGCGGCUUGGUAUGUCGGGUGUGAAAUCCCCGGGCUUAACCUGGGAAUUGCAUUUCAAACUGGCCGACUAGAGUACGGUAGAGGGAGGUAGAAUUUCCUGUGUAGCGGUGAAAUGCGUAGAUAUAGGAAGGAAUACCAGUGGCGAAGGCGGCCUCCUGGAUCGAUACUGACGCUGAGGCGCGAAAGCGUGGGGAGCAAACAGG
rnacentral:rRNA from 1 species